rnacentral:lncRNA from 1 species
UGGGCCCAAGAAAGACUUCUUGACCCUCCCUUCCUUCAUCCUUGUAAAGGCUGGACCCCCGGCAGUUCAGAAGCUGAGGCAGAAUUGGGAAUUUGGAAUACUUGGUGAAUUCAAGGCAAGCUUGGCCUAUAAGCAAGGCCAUUUCAACAAGCAAGUAAGGGGCUGGGAGUUUAGCAUAGUUGGUAGAGUGCUUGCCCAGCUGACACUAAGACCUGGGUCAGUUCGUACAACGUGGGGCUGGAGAGAUGACUCAGAAGUCAUCUUACUGCAGCUGGGACAUGCCAACACCCCAGAGGCAGAGGCUAGCCUGGUCUACAGGUCAAGUUCCAAGACAGCCAGGAUAGCCUCUCCUGGCCACUUUGGGCAACUGUAUAGAUGUGAGGCAUAUAAGCUUAUGUGAGCUCACAUUAUAUGCACAUACAUACAUACAUACAUACAUAUAUACAUACACAGAUCUCAGUCUCUGUAGUACCACAGAUGUGGUGGCACAUGUUUAUGAUCCUAGCACUUGCUGAUGGAGGCAGGAUUUAAGUCCUCCUCUACUACAUAACAAGUUUGAGGCUGCCCUUGAGCCCACUGUGAUGCUGGACACGACCUUCCCCUCCGUAUCCUCCCGCCUCCAUCUCCUGAGUGCUGGGGUUAUAGGUAUAGAGCACUUUUGGGGUAGCCCAGGCUGGCCUUAAAUUUGUGGCAAUCCUCCUGCCUCAGCCACAAUCCUCCUAGCACCUCACCCGGCAGGGUGGAUGGAGCUCUCGGCCAGCAAGACUGGGGUCCCUUCCUCCCUGCACUGCACUGUCGGUUCCUGGCAGGAUUAUGCUUCGUGUCUGUCCCCGUGCCAGGCUGUGCUCGUGCCUCAGGUCCCUGGGCAGUUGAGUUGCAUCUUUCUCACCUUCCUUAACUGGCUCGGGGGCUUCAUGUUGUGGGGUUGGAUUUGGCUUCUCCCACCUCACAGGAUGUAUCUGUAUUUAGGUUGCCUGUGUCUAAUGCCUGCACAGUGUGGUGACUACAUUUGUCCUUCAGGUUUUGUGUCCUGUGUCUGCCUGUCUGUCGGUCUCUCUCUUUUGAGUCUCAAGUAGCCCAGACUAGCCACUAACAUGGAGAAGAAUAACCAGAAUAAACUUAACCUUCUGAUGCCCGCUCUCUACUUCUCAGGUCUUGUCGUUACAGGCAUGCACUGCCACGUUAGAUUUAUGCCAUGCUGGGGCCUGGAAGCGUCAGGCAAAUAGUCUGCUGACUGAGCCACGUCUCAGCCUUGGGGUUUCCUGCUUCUUGGUGCCAUUCUGGGCAUUGACAUCUCAACCCUCCCCAGUACCAGGAUGAGCUGCGUGUGUCCCCAUGCCAGCUCCUUUUCUCUCCUGUUGCACCAUGCAGCCCAUUGGAUGUGGGGCUGUGUGCUUCUGCAAGUCCCUCCCCUAUUUGGGCUUCUUUGGCCUCAUAUGAGGUCUGAAUUCAGCUCCUGGGGUCCAGACUCAGUGACAGAGGUUCCUGGUGGACCUUGGGGGUUAAUGGCCUCCCAGGCUGGUGAGCAGGGACUAUCAGAGUUCCGCUUUACCCAGUGCCCACACAUCUCAGCACCGCACCGGUCCAGUUUCCCAUCUUCCCUAGAAACUUGUGCUGGUCUACCUGAUGCAUGGUUGUCUUGCCUGCUGCUGUCUGCCCACAGUGCUGUUGUGUCAGGGUCUGGGCCAUGCACGUGGCUGUCUGAUAAGCCCACCCUGGACUUCUCUCUCUCACCCCCACUUCAGACUCGGCAGGGAAGGAUCCCUCAUUCGUCCCUGCUUCCUUGGGCUCUCCCAAUUGGGCCAGGCCUUGCAAACCCUGGGAAUGGGGAGGGCCCUGUGUCCUCUGGUCACUGUGGCACCGUGAUACUGUGGCACUGUGGAGGUAGAGCCUUGAGACCCCAAGGCUCCUCCCAACCUUGUCUCUGGGGAGCAGCCUCAUCUCCCAGGCACAACUGGAACCUCUCCAUGACAGACCCAACCCUGCCCACCCUGGGUGAGCCGUGACAUGGGAACCACUGCCACUCAUCCCACCUGGUGCCGUCGGCUUCCCAGAAGGCUUCCUCUUCAUGUCUGCCUGCUGCCACAUGACCUAGGCAUGACAGCUUGAACCCCAUAUGGGACUUUUCCAGGUCCUGUCUCCUCCCUGCAACAGGGCCUGAGCCCAGAAGCAGGCAUGAUAGCCCUGGCACAACCCCAGACAGUAGCAAAGUGAAGGUGAGGUCACUGCUCGCCUGGAGCAGUUACAGACCUGACAUCUGUGGCCAUGUCUCACAGCCUCCAGCCUGAAGACUCAGGAAUCCCAAUCCCGAGUGCAGUGUGAGGCGCUGUCCUCCAGCUUCUCUCAGGCUAAUGUGACAGAGGUCUGCCGUCCACUGUGGUGGCCAUGUCAUUCUCUUGAGGCCAGUUGGCACUGUCUUCCCAUGUGGGAUCUUAAAGUAUGUUUGUGUCUGUCCCCGUAUGUUGGGCAUAUGGCUCUGGAAGGCCACCUGGCUGCUCCAGCCCCAGUGGUGUUCCAUGUAGACAUGGGGGGCAUUCUUUCUGUAAGUUUCCAGCUUGCCAGAACCACAGUUAACAGCUCCCCCUCUGCUGCUGUGUUCUGGCAAGCUCCGGCCCCUGGCAGCCUCGGGGGCCGCGCUCAAAGCUGAGUGUGCACAUGUGAUUCUCCAUGCCGGGAAGACAGGGCUCAGUCUGCGUCUGGUCUGCAGACUGCAGAGAAGUGCUCUCAGAUGGAGCAGGGGAUUGCUUAAGUCUGCCUUGGAUGUCAGUUUCAAAGAGUGCAAUCAGGUUGGGGGAUGAGGCUUGGUCAGUAGAGGGCUCUCCUGGCGUGCACAAAGCCCUAGGCUCCAGUCCCCACAUGGCACAGACGAGGCAUAGUGGUUCAGGUUUAUAAUCCCAGCACUUGAGAGGUGGGGGCAGGAGGAUCCAAAGUUCAAGGUCAUCCUUGGCUUCAUAACAAGUUUGAGGCCAACCUUGGAAGCGUGCAGUGUCGUGAAAGCCUGUCUCAAGAAAGUUAAAAAAUAACAAACAUAAAAACAUGGGGUUUCUGAUGCUCGCAGCCCAAGCUGCUCCACAGCCUGCGUGGCUUCUGUAGGUGGCAUUUGGAGUCUGGGAGCUGCCCAGUCACACCGUGUGGUACCACUCUGUGUGGGAGCCCUAGACCAGGCUGUUGGGGUGUUCUCACCUGGCAAGCCGACCAUGUGGGUCUGCCGCUGCUGGCUCAGCUGGGAGAGCUGUGACCUGGAUGCUGAUCUAGGUGGCUGCUGAGUCCCAGCUCCAUUGAGCACAUUCAGAAGCCAGGAGCUGGGAACCGCGUGAGGCCUGUAGAAGAUGGCCAAGGUGCGUGGGCCCCACCAUAGCGUUGGCAGCAUGGGGGGGGGGCCACAGGCCAUUUCAGAAGGGAAGAUGUUGUCUGGUGUUCACUUGGUGGGUCUGUCUGUCUGGAUGUGGAGCUAAAGGUGAUCUGACCUGGGAAUUCUGUCCUUAUCCCAGAGCCUCUAAUUAGCCAGGUGGUGGUGUGGUGGGGGGGCAUUCCUUUAUUCCCAGCGCUUGGGAGAUAGAGGCAGGAGGAUCUCUGUGAGUUCAAGACCAGUCCUGGUCUACAGGACGGCAGGUUCCAGGACAGCCAAAAUUACACAGAGAAACCCUGUCUCAAAAAACAAAACAAGGGCUGGAGAGAUGACUCAGUGGUUAAGAGCACUGGUUGCUCCUCCAGAGGACCCAGGUUCAAAUUCCAGCACCCACACAGCAGCUAACAACUGUCUGUAACUCUAGUUCCAGGGAUCUAGCACCCUCAUACAGACAUGCCUAGCAAUGCACAUGAAAUGAAAAUAAGGAGACUAUUA